AUACGUAGGUGGCAAGCGUUAUCCGGAUUUACUGGGUGUAAAGGGCGUGUAGGCGGGAUCGCAAGUCAGAUGUGAAAUCUAUGGGCUCAACCCAUAGCCUGCAUUUGAAACUGCGGUUCUUGAGUGAUGGAGAGGCAGGCGGAAUUCCCGGUGUAGCGGUGAAAUGCGUAGAUAUUAGGAGGAACACCAGUAGCGAAGGCGGCUUUCUGGACUGUAACUGACACUGAGGCACGAAAGCGUGGGGAGC
rnacentral:rRNA from 1 species